rnacentral:miRNA from 7 species
UGCUCAACUCUCCAGUCUGUCCAGGUCUUGUUGAGUGGUAGCACAGCCUUUCA